GACGAACGCUGGCGGCGUGCUUAACACAUGCAAGUCGAACGGAAAGGCCCUGCUUGCAGGGUACUCGAGUGGCGAACGGGUGAGUAACACGUGGGUGAUCUGCCCUGCACUUCGGGAUAAGCCUGGGAAACUGGGUCUAAUACCGGAUAGGAGCCAUUUUUAGUGUGAUGGUUGGAAAGUUUUUUCGGUGUAGGAUGAGCUCGCGGCCUAUCAGCUUGUUGGUGGGGUAAUGGCCUACCAAGGCGGCGACGGGUAGCCGGCCUGGGAGGGUGGACGGCCACAUUGGGACUGAGAUACGGCCCAGACUCCUACGGGAGGCAGCAGUGGGGAAUAUUGCACAAUGGGCGCAAGCCUGAUGCAGCGACGCCGCGUGGGGGAGGACGGCCUUCGGGUUGGAAACUCCUUUCGCUAGGGACGAAGCUUUUUGUGACGGUACCUAGAUAAGAAGCACCGGCUAACUACGUG
rnacentral:rRNA from 1 species